CCUCUGAUCAACUAUGUCCGCCUCUUUCUCAGUCUCUUGUUUGCUGGCGGGGCCGGGGCUGCCGGGUCGUCGAGGGCUGUCGAGGAGCGAGAGGCGGUAAGGGUAAGCAAGCUGAGGCAGUGAGGCGAGUCAGUCGUGAGCGAGACGGUGGUGGGUGUAGUUGUGCCACAGUGGGCUCCGAGCGUGUGACUCGUCCUCUCCCUGACUGUUUGUGUACUGAAGGUGCUUUGCCGUGUCUUUGGUCAUCUUUUCUACAAUAACGUGUUUGUGACAUACGCUUUUACUCGGCGAGUGACUGGUAUUUCCUGAAAAGAGAGGACUGAUUAACUUGGCGGUUGUGGGGCCAGGACGGAGAGAACGGAGGGAGGCGAGGGCUGCGUGGCCGGGCUGACGCCGUGUCCAGAGGGAGGGUGACGGCCGGGCUGCAUGGGACCCGACAGGUGGUGCUGUCAGGCGCUGGAGCAACGCUUUUAGACACGACGUAGAAGAUAUAUACGAGGGAAAAGAAUGAAGAGUGUUUAUUGAAAAAAAUGUGUUUCAGAGUUUACAUUAUUGAUAAAUGCCAACUGACAAAGACACGGACUGCUUAUGACGGAUAUUUGCUCAUAAAUCUACCGUGCUCUUAAAUGCGGAAAGGGUAGUUACAAAAUCAACACAAUCAAUGCCAGAUCUCCAAUAACUGUGCAAUAACAAGUCAUCAUUUCCCAAAACAUUAAAACAACGCAAUGAUAAACGUGAAAUGUUAGACUUCAGGCACAAAGAAACACCGUUAAAUUUUCUGCAAAAGUGAAAGCGUGUGUUCCCGUAAAUAUAUUAUAACCCGCGCGAAACAGGCAAGCAGGUGGAUACAACAAUUUAAGCAGCCGUCAGGAAUGCUGGAAAAUGUCUCUGAAGAAAACAGGAGAAACGAGGAAAGAAUGUCGGGGGGGGUGGGGGGUGGCGGCUGGAGGGGAGCGUCGGGAGGGAAGAGAAAUAGAGGAGACAACCCCUCCCUUCCCAGCCCCCCCGCCGUGCCCCCCAUCGCCCGCCCCCUCGUCCCCUGCCCCACAUAAACACGGGAGGCUCGAGUGGGUGACGCUGGCCUUUCUCCUCCUUGCCCUCUUUUGUACAGGGGAGGGCCACGUCCACCGGAGGAGCCGCGCCCCAGCGGAGCGGCACCGCCACUUCGCCGCCCGCCAAGCCUCGUCCCCGCCGCCGCCGCAGCUCGACCCCUCCCACUCCUCAGACGUCACCGCACUGGCAGACAAGACGGCCAUCCUCAACUGCCGCGUGCACAACGUGAAUAACAGGACGGUGUCGUGGAUAAGGCACCGCGACAUACACCUGCUGACGGUGGGCCGCUACACCUACACCUCCGACCAGCGGUUCAGGGCGCUGCACGAGGACGACUCAGACGACUGGCUCCUCAAGAUAAACUACGUGCAGCCUCGGGACUCCGGUGUGUACGAGUGCCAGGUCUCCACCACGCCACCGAUGUCCCACUACGUUCGUCUCAAGGUUGUCAAGCCACACACCUACAUCCUCGGCGGCCCGGACCUCCACCUCAACACGGGCUCCACCAUCAACCUGACCUGCCUCGUGGAGUACAGCCCAGAGCCUCCUGAAUUCAUCUACUGGAGCCACAACGCCAAGAUCAUCAGUUACGACUCUAGCCGAGGCGGGGUGACGGUCAUCCUGGAGAAGGGUGACCUAACCACCAGCACCCUGCUCAUCCAGAGAGCAAGGCCCUCAGACUCCGGCCUCUACGACUGUAGUCCCUCCAACGCCGCCCCCGCCAACGUCACUGUUCACGUGCUAAACGGUAAAGGUUUCGUUGUGUUUAGCGGAACAGGUGUGGUGGUAUUUAGCGGUAAGGGUUUGGUUGAAUUGAACGUGACAGGUUUGGUUUGGUUGAGGGAAGGGGAGAGGUGGAAGAAGAAUGGAACUUAUGGAACUCACGGUGCAAAAUACAGUCUGAAAGAUUAGGCAGAAAAAUACAAGUUUGACUAUAUAGUUUCAUUGUCAUUCGCCCCAGACAAAUUAUAACUUAAGAGGUCAAAUUUUGCUUCAUUGCAGUCUCUUUUCACGUCCCUCAGCUUCAUUCAACAUCAUGAAAACAGUAUAGCAAUAAAUUUCACUCAACACUCUUUUAGGAGUGACUACUAGAUAAUUAUGCUUGCUAUCGGUGGACGGAACAAAGACAAUUUAGAUAUAUUUGUGACUUGAAAAAAAUAAUUACUUGUAUAGCCUAAUUGCUAACCAGCACUAAUAAACAAUUGUUUGGACGACAAUUUAAUAACGAUUUAGGCUACACUUCUUACAACACUAAAAAGUUAGGUUCAAAUGAUCACGUUCAUGGUAUCUGCUUUCAGAUUUAGUUUGUACGGGCAGCCUGAACUGCUUAGUUAAUUAAAAUGACCGCUGAAGAUUUUCAUGAACAAGUUUUUUCUAAGUAUUGUUAUGCCGGACGUGUACUUGGGUUCCGUGUCGCCGUCAGGAGACUCCGUGGGAGGGAGAUAUGUAAACACUUCGCACAGCUUCUGUAGUUUAAUAUUCUUCCUUAGUAGUACACUUCACUUUGACUCUUCACUUACCACUAGCUUACUAUGACUGGGACUGGGACUCUCUCGCCCUCUUCUCCUAUAUAUAUAUCCAGAACAGUACAGUCUAGAAUGUUACAGUAUAUUUUAGAUCAUACAAGAACAUGUAGCAAAAAUAUAUGCGAGUUGGCAAAACUUCCCGCCUGGCGCCUGGCCGCGCCCCGCGGGGCGCUGACGGCUCGCCUUGCUCCCCGCCCCCUUGCUCGUUUCUCCGGGAGCCUUCUAGAGGCCUAUGGUCGCCGGGGGAAGCUUCCAGCACAACAGUAUUUAGAAAAUUCACACGUUGACAAAUCACGUACAGUGAUUAUCAUUUUAAAACUUAUCAGGACUUGACCGGGUGGACCAUCAUUAACUAUAAUUAUUUUCAAGAAGUUCGGUUACUCAUGCCAUGCAGCUACUGAAUACGCUAAGUCCGUAGUCAUAAACACGACGUCUUCACAGCAUACACGCAUUCCAAAUAUCUGUUGUUCUUUACAUAAUGCAUCAAAUAAUAGAUAAACAAAGCAAUCAUGUCACACUCACGAGACAGUCGACAGUGGUAGGCAGGGGAGGACGAGGAGGUGGUGGAGGCCAUGACGGAGGCUGGCGGGACCUUGGAGUGCGGGACUAGCAAGUUCUUAGGUGUCAGCGUGUCCAAUAAACCUUUUCACAGUCACUAGGAAACCUUGGUGUAAAACAGGAAAUAUCAAAUAGGCUACACAGUCACUACGACACCCUACACAGCCCACGGGCCGCCGGAAAGAAGCCGAGACUGUCCCUUCCCGUCCUGAACGGAGUGUUGCUGACUUGACUCGUUGACUCGGAUCAUUUGACUUCACUACUGCAGCGGUACCAGAUUAUCGUAUUCACCAUAUUGCAUAUACCGGUUUUUGACACUUAACUAUUGAAAAAAACAUCAAUAAUUAACCAUUUCAACGAGAACUAUAUAUUAGUUUAGUUAUUGGAGUACAGGAGACUGUUUUUGGGUCGGAAAUCGGCAAAUAUAGGAGGCUGAGUAAGACAAUCUGGCAGCAUGGCGUGACUGGUGUCGCCUCAACUCGUCCGCGGAGAAAAGUAGUUCUCACAGAUAAUGGCUCAUAUUUAUUUUUCUUAAUUAUUAAUUGAUUGAUGGCUGAUGUUAUUUUCUUUAUCUCGUGCGUGCAUGUUCCAUGUAAACGGAAUGGGAUAAAACUGACGCAGCACAAUAACGAACAGAACGCACAGACGGAAUCAAGGAAUGGUUAAUUAAAACAACUAAACGGUCAUGCAUCCAGGAGAACAUCCAGCGGCGAUGCAGCACGGCGGACAGAGCACAUACACCAACUCCUCCAUCAUCAAUAUCCUCCUCCUGUUGGCCCUCCUGGCAGGCCUGCAGGCUGUCCUCAAGUAGUGCAGAUGAAUGAAGAUACUCGCUCUGGAACAUCGUCCAUGAGGCUUGUCUCUAUGGACCUCUGUGAAGAGCCCCACACGUUACUGCUUCCUUUCCAAGUGUUCGUGGAAAGUUAACUAAAAGCUUUGUACCGAACGAUGGAGUUGGUAUUCUAGAAACGAGUGGAUAAUCUACUUGUUAGUUAGUUGAGAUUUUAGGUAACAUGUUUUAUAAGAGAAACGAUCGAGUGAUGGUGGCCAGGGCAUAAUCACCUAAUUUAAUCAUAUAUUAAGUUCACGUAUUAUAAUUGCUGCUUUUUUUAAUUAGCGUUGCACAGAAUGAGUUUUUUUCUUUUAAUGUAUUGUUCAAUUUGUAGCCUACUUGUGUUUCCUCAUCGUGGUUUAUAUGGAAUCGUCUGGAACUUACAUCAUUCUCCAUGUGAGCAACGAAGGGAUAAAUUGCUCGAUAGCUGACCCCUAGCGUCCAACAUCACCCUGCAGAGUGAUGCCCACCACUCUAGUGAGCCUGUUUGAAAAUAGGGUAAGAUCAUUGUUAAGUAAGUUCAUCAAACGAGGUAGGCCUGGUCCUCAACGGAUUAGUUUGUGUAAUUUAUUUUGUUACUUAUAUUAUCUACUUCAUAUUAUUUUUUACAAGGAUCCGGCCAAAUACUACAACUGGAGGACUCCGUCUAAAUUUGUAUUAGGCUACCUUUAAUCUAAUGUAGCAUGAUUGUAUAAUAAUUGUAUUUACCACAUAAAUAGACCAUUAAUAAAUGAAAAAUGCCUAUAUUUAACAAUACAUGUAUAUUUAUGUGUUCAUAUGUGUUUUGUAAGUUUAAAAAUCGCAUAGGUUAUUUGGUUUGAUCUUGGAAAGCAAAUAUCGAAGCAUGCAAAUUUCUUAAGUGUCACGUCAUUCUUUUGAGAUAAUAAAUGUUAAGCAUGUGUA